rnacentral:rRNA from 1 species
CACACUGGCACUGAGACACGGGCCAGACUCCUACGGGAGGCAGCAGUGAGGAAUUUUGCGCAAUGGGGGCAACCCUGACGCAGCAACGCCGCGUGUGGGAAGAAGGCUUUCGGGUUGUAAACCACUUUUGUGAGGGAAGAAGUCCUGCCGGAUAACACCCGGCGGGGAUGACGGUACCUUGCGAAUAAGCCACGGCUAACUCUGUGCCAGCCGCCGCCGUAACAC